rnacentral:lncRNA from 1 species
UCGUAAGUCACCUACAAGUCGGAACCACCUAAUGUGGUAUGUACAACAAGCUGGCACCUGCCUUGGAUCCAAGGUGAACGUGUGGUGCGGGAGGUGAACGAUCACGUGAAGGCUAGGCCCUGGCCUCAGGCGGAGUACUAACACUAGGGUGCAGGAUAAUGAGCACUAAAUAUAUCUCAACAUAAUCAUACACACUACAAUCACUAUCAUCAAUAUGUACUCACCUGAAGCUUACAUGUGCGUCUGCAACACCAUGCAAUAAUAUGCAUAUCUAUACUAAUGCAUAUACUAAAAUAUAAUGCAAUCGACAUGGCAUUUAAAACAUAAUUUCAUUUAAAACCAUUUAAGCACAUAAUCAAAACCGUAUAAUAACUUCCCAUACGUUGCUCAAUUGAGGUGUUUGAAUAUACCAUCGUGGCCUACUUAACACCACGAGCAUCCCCAUAUUUUAGAAUCAUUUUUCGACGUCCCACAUGCC